ensembl:lncRNA
CUGAUACUGUCUUCAGUCACCACCCUUCAGACUAUCGUCUGCACAGGAGACUCAGAGUCACUCCAGGAAAGAUUUCGUGGUUAACUUUGGGUGAGCAACACUUGACUGUAGCUAGCGGGUGAAGACACAGUCCUGGAGCACCUAUUUUGCCUCUGUGCAGUGACUGUGUGCAGCAGGUCUGGAUCAGUGUCACAUCUGGAUAGAUGUCAACUCAACUGUGAGCCAGAAAGUAGCCCAGUGAAGAGCCCAACUAAGAUGGAGCCAAACCCUAAAUGAUAAAUCCCACUGGGUAUAUCAGCUUGGAUUUUGCUGUGUGAUCCUCAAGCUUUGGUAGCUAGGAGUUUGUGUUUGACUAUGUCUCCUUGCAAGGGCUCUUGAGUCGGCCUUUAAAGGUCAUCUGGUCCAGCUCCCUGGCAAUGAACAGGGAAGUGCCACUGUCCUCCACAGCUCAUGGGUGACCAUCAGUCCCUCUUUGUCCGAGUAUCAACCAAGUUCAAAAGAGCUGGAUGUCAUCCACAUUCCCGCUCACUCUCUGGCUGUGUUUGAAGCUAGACUUCCUCGCUUAAUUUCUGUGAGCCAAACUGUUUGCACUGAACUGGCAAAAGAUGAAUCCCAGAGCUUGUGCUUUGUUUUGACAUCUGUGUGAGCAGCGUGGUGGUUUAGUGCUCUGUGUCUGUGGAUUUCAUGCUGCCUGUGUCUUCUCGUUGUUCUUCCAUUUGGUUUGUGCUGGCCACUGGAGAACAAGGAUCACAGAGUCCUUCCUAUGCUGGAGGGUCGUAAUGAACCAUCAUGAGCUGUCAGCACCGUGGAAAAAAGAUCUUAUGGUUGUGCUCGUAGUAAACCAGCCUACAGGAAACCAUAGAAAACAGCUUGGAAAUUGAAUGUAAAUGGAUGUGAAGGCAACUAGAAAGCAAGCGUUCUAAUGCUGAUGGUGUUUCCCUUGUUGAUAAAUGGAAAGCAAACACUGCAAAAGGACAUGGGGAAUAUUCCACUUGAAUCAUCUAUUAAUUUGUCUGUGCUGCAGUCAAUAGUCUAAGAAGUAUCUACUUUAAAGAGAAUCUCGUCGUGAGGUUGGCCCUUUGAAAAGUUUCAGAACUCUGCUAAAUUAAAGUCUCAAACUGCUGAUGAAAAAGCACUCCAGGUGCAAAGGGGAGCUGGCAAAAAAAAGAAUGACUAUAGCACAGAAGUAAUUAAACAACUUGGAGCAAAUGCAUUUGGCAUGGGUGGAAAUUGGGAUCUUAACGUCAAAUAAUAGGCGUAUGUCUCUUCUGUUGUCAUGCAAUUAAAGAAUGAAACCUGCAGAAGGGAGAGGGUUGUUCUGUUCCUGCUAAUAGCCUGUGAGUGCAGUGAGGGCUGGCUCUCAUGUGUCUUUUUUCUGUACUCUGGGCACAGCUACAGCUGCUGAGUGGAAAUCAGUAGUCCUGGCUUGUUGCUUGCAAUUAAUCCCUUGCCAUACCGCAGCUUUCCUGGGCUGUUCACAUAGUGUUUGAAAGACAAAUGACACAAAAUAGGUGGGACAGACCCUUGGCAAAGAUGGAGGAACCUGUCUUUACCAACCCUGAUGUGUCCUCGUCGCAACCAGGCUACUUAGAAGGGUCAACACCAAUUUAGCUGAUAACUUUUUUGUAGAAUCAUAGAAUCAGUAAGGUUGGAAAAGACCAUUAAGAUCGUCAAGUUGAGUUGUCACCACCAAGCUCAUGAAACCUUGUGCUGCUAAACCAUUUACACACUGGAACAAGGAGGUUGUGGAUUCCCCAUCCCUGGAGGCAUUCAAGGCCAGGCUGGAUGUGGCUCUGGGCAGCCUGGUCUGCUGGUUGGUGACCCUGCACAUAGCAGGGGGGUUAAAACUCAAUGAGCACUGUGGUCCU